GCUUGUCUCAAAGAUUAAGCCAUGCAUGUCUAAGUAUAAGCAAUCUUAUACGUGAAACUGCGAAUGGCUCAUUAUAUCAGUUAUAGUUUCUUUGAUGGUCCUUGCUACUUGGAUAACCGUAGUAAUUCUAGAGCUAAUACAUGCAGCAAUCCCUGACUUAGGAAAGGGUGUACUUAUUAGAUAGAAACCAAUAGGGGCAACCCUUAUAUUGGUGAUUCAUAGUAAUUUUCGGAUCGAUCUUUGAUCGAUGCAUCAUUCAAGUUUCUGCCCUAUCAGCUUUGGAUGGUAGGGUAUUGGCCUACCAUGGCAUUUACGGGUAACGGAGAAUUAGGGUUCGAUUCCGGAGAGGGAGCCUGAGAAAUGGCUACCACAUCCAAGGAAGGCAGCAGG
rnacentral:rRNA from 1 species